rnacentral:rRNA from 1 species
GAUGAACGCUGACAGAAUGCUUAACACAUGCAAGUCCACUUGAACUUCGGUUUGGGUGGCGGACGGGUGAGUAACGCGUAAAGAACUUGCCUCACAGUUAGGGACAACAUUUGGAAACGAAUGCUAAUACCUGAUAUUAUGAUUUUAGGGCAUCCUAGAAUUAUGAAAGCUAUAUGCGCUGUGAGAGAGCUUUGCGUCCCAUUAGCUAGUUGGAGAGGUAACGGCUCACCAAGGCGAUGAUGGGUAGCCGGCCUGAGAGGGUGAACGGCCACAAGGGGACUGAGACACGGCCCUUACUCCUACGGGAGGCAGCAGUGGGGAAUAUUGGACAAUGGACCAAGAGUCUGAUCCAGCAAUUCUGUGUGCACGAUGAAGUUUUUCGGAAUGUAAAGUGCUUUCAGUUGGGAAGAAAAAAAUGACGAUACCAACAGAAGAAGUGACGGCUAAAUACGU